rnacentral:tRNA from 1 species
ACCUGGGUGGCUCAGUGGGUAGAGCGUGUGACUUCUGAUCUUGGGAUUGUGAGUUCAAGCCCCACAGUGGGUG